UCCUACGGGAGGCAGCAGUGGGGGAUAUUGCACAAUGGGGGAAACCCUGAUGCAGCGACGCCGCGUGAGUGAAGAAGUAUUUCGGUAUGUAAAGCUCUAUCAGCAGGGAAGAAAAUGACGGUACCUGACUAAGAAGCCCCGGCUAACUACGUGCCAGCAGCCGCGGUAAU
rnacentral:rRNA from 1 species